CUUUGCAUAAACCGGAUAUUCGUCACGUUGUGUAAUGACUAGUGUGAAGUUGUAUGAAAUUAACGAAAUGCAAUAAAAUAUGUCACUGAACUGUUAGCAUUAACGGUGAUGAUCUAGUUACUAUAGUUUAAUGGCAGGUGCAUAGUUGUGUAACGUAUUUGGUUCCAACUCACCAGUUAUGCAAUAGCGCUCGAGGUCCUUCUGAAUUGUGUUCUUGACCGAAUAUCUGAAUGAAGACCAUAACGUAUAAUUUUAUGACUUCGGAUCUACGUAGUGAAUAAUAAUAUGCAAUGAAGUUACAAAGCGGCACAAAGCUUUUCUGCAUCACAUAUCAUGAAAUGACCUUUCUUUUAUAAGAUGUACGUUGUUUAACACUAAUAUGGAGCGGGAUAACGAUAAUAUAAACAGAAAAAAGUGGCCAUGAGAUGGGCUAUUUAUCCGGUUAUAUCUAUGAGCUUUAUUAUGACAUCAUUUUUCGGAAUAUCGUGAUCAAUUUAUUUCCUAUUAUUGUGUAAUUUUAUAAUUAUAAAGAGCGAUAUGCGGACGUUUUGAUUUAUAUAAUUACAUACGUCCAACAUUUCGGUGCAAUAUGUUAACAAAAUAAUUUUUUGUCUUUGAAAUUAAUAUAUGCAAAUUACCUUG